rnacentral:rRNA from 1 species
AUUGAACGCUGGCGGCAUGCCUUACACAUGCAAGUCGAACGGCAGCACGGGUGCUUGCACCUGGUGGCGAGUGGCGAACGGGUGAGUAAUACAUCGGAACGUACCUUAUCGUGGGGGAUAACGCAGCGAAAGUUGCGCUAAUACCGCAUACGCCCUGAGGGGGAAAGCGGGGGACCGUAAGGCCUCGCGCGAUUAGAGCGGCCGAUGUCUGAUUAGCUUGUUGGUGAGGUAAAAGCUCACCAAGGCGAUGAUCAGUAGCUGGUCUGAGAGGACGAUCAGCAACACGGGGACUGAGACACGGCCCAGACUCCUACGGGAGGCAGCAGUGGGGAAUUUUGGACAAUGGGGGCAACCCUGAUCCAGCAAUGCCGCGUGAGUGAAGAAGGCCUUCGGGUUGUAAAGCUCUUUUGUCAGGGAAGAAACAGCAGCUCUAACACAGUCUGCGAAUGACGGUACCUGAAGAAUAAGCACCGGCUAACUACGUGCCAGCAGCCGCCGUAA